AUUCAGAUUAACUGAUGGCAGUCC
rnacentral:siRNA from 1 species